UUGGAGGGCAAGUCUGGUGCCAGCAGCCGCGGUAAUUCCAGCUCCAAUAGCGUAUAUUAAAGUUGUUGCAGUUAAAAAGCUCGUAGUUGAAUUUCGGGGCUAGUAGGUUGGUCAUGCCACUGGUAUGUACUGGUCUCACUGAUUCCUCCUUCCUGAUGAGCCGUAAUGCCAUUAAUUUGGUGUUGCGAGGAAUCCGGACUGUUACUUUGAAAAAAUUAGAGUGUUUAAAGCAAGCUAACGCUUGAAUACAUUAGCAUGGAAUAAUGAAAUAGGACGUUCGAUCCUAUUUUGUUGGUUUCUAGGAUUGACGUAAUGAUUAAUAGGGAUAGUUGGGGGCAUUAGUAUUCAAUUGUCAGAGGUGAAAUUCUUGGAUUUAUUGAAGACUAACUACUGCGAAAGCGUUUGCCAAGGAUGUUUUCAUUAAUCAAGAACGAAAGUUAGGGGAUCGAAGACGAUCAGAUACCGUCGUAGUCUUAACCAUAAACUAUGCCGACUAGGGAUCGGAUGAUGUUAAUUUUUUAAUGACUCAUUCGGCGCCUUACGGGAAACCAAAGUGUUUGGGUUC
rnacentral:rRNA from 1 species